GACUGGUAGUCAGUGGUGAAAUCUCACAGCUUAACUGGGAAACUGCCGUUGAUACUGCAGGUCUUGAGUAUAUUUGAAGUGGCUGGAAUAAGUAGUGUAGCGGUGAAAUGCAUAGAUAUUACUUAGAACACCAAUUGCGAAGGCAGGUCACUAAGAUUUAACUGACGCUGAGGGACGAAAGCGUGGGGAGCGAAC
rnacentral:rRNA from 1 species